UACGAAGGGGGGCUAGCGUUGCUCGGAAUGACUGGGCGUAAAGGGCUCGUAGGCGGCCAACUAAGUCACACGUGAAAUCCCCAGGCUUAACCUGGGAACUGCGUGUGAUACUGGAUGGCUUGAAUCCGGGAGAGGGAUGCAGAAUUCCAGGUGUAGCGGUGAAAUGCGUAGAUAUCUGGAGGAAUACCGGUGGCGAAGGCGGCAUCCUGGACUGGCAUUGACGCUGAUGAGCGAAAGCUAGGGGAGCAAACGGG
rnacentral:rRNA from 1 species